ACUCCUACGGGAGGCAGCAGUGGGGAAUAUUGGACAAUGGGCGCAAGCCUGAUCCAGCCAUGCCGCGUGUGUGAUGAAGGCCUUAGGGUUGUAAAGCACUUUUGUCCGGGAAGAUAAUGACUGUACCGGAAGAAUAAGCCCCGGCUAACUACGUGCCAGCAGCCGCGGUAAU
rnacentral:rRNA from 1 species